rnacentral:lncRNA from 1 species
AUGAUUCACAGGCUUGAAGUUGGCUGGCGCCGCUCAUCCAUGCAGAGGAAUACGAGCUGUCCUCCUGCAGCCUAUCCAGACUUGGAGGCCCAUAAGCAGAGGCUGCUGCCCGGGUUUUCACCCCGGAGGCAGAGGAGUCGGCACUCACAGGACUGGGGGAAGAGCACUGAGAUUUUCCAGAGCUGCACCUUGCUCCUGAGGUCUCAGUUCAGGACUAAUGCCUCAGAGCCUUGCAGUCAAACCCUUCUGCAAACUAUAAGAAAGCAGAAAAAUAUAAAGCACUUACCAGAUGCCCUGAUCUGAUCAUGACAGGAUAUGAAGGAGAGCGAUUUCCUUCCCACUCUGCAUGCAGCCACAUGAACAUAUGGCCUUGGCUUCCAAAUCCGACUUUAACAAAGAAGACUUCGUUUUUCCUCUCCGUGCUGGCAACCGGUCCAUGAAGGGGAAGGCGUAUAUUGUAUGGGGGGUAGAGAGGGUGUUCUUUUACCUUUCAUUUCCCUCCCUGUUUUUAACGAUGCCAAGAGACACUAUUCACAUCCAGACACAACAGAUGCUGGAGUCAGGGAAGCUGAACCUGGCCAUAUUGCAAG